rnacentral:rRNA from 1 species
CCUACGGGUGGCAGCAGUGGGGAAUAUUGCACAAUGGGGGAAACCCUGAUGCAGCAACGCCGCGUGAGCGAUGAAGGCUUUCGGUAUGUAAAGCUCUGUCCGCAGGGAAGAAAAUGACGGUACCUGAGGAAGAAGCCCCGGCUAACUACGUGCCAGCAGCCGCGGUAAUACGUAGGGGGCUAGCGUUAUCCGGAUUUACUGGGCGUAAAGGGAGCGUAGACGGUCUUGUAAGCCAGAUGUGAAAGCCCGAGGCUCAACCCGUGGAAUGCAUUUGAAACUGGAAGGCUAGAGUGUCGGAGAGGCAGGUGGAAUUCCUAGUGUAGCGGUGAAAUGCGUAGAUAUUAGGAGGAACACCAGUGGCGAAGGCGGCCUGCUGGACGGUGACUGACGUUGAGGCUCGAAAGCGUGGGGAGCAAACAGGAGUAGAUACCCGAGUAGUC